GACGAACGCUGGCGGCGUGCCUAAUACAUGCAAGUUGAGCGCUGAAGGUUGGUACUUGUACCAACUGGAUGAGCAGCGAACGGGUGAGUAACGCGUGGGGAAUCUGCCUUUGAGCGGGGGACAACAUUUGGAAACGAAUGCUAAUACCGCAUAAAAACUUUAAACACAAGUUUUAAGUUUGAAAGAUGCAAUUGCAUCACUCAAAGAUGAUCCCGCGUUGUAUUAGCUAGUUGGUGAGGUAAAGGCUCACCAAGGCGAUGAUACAUAGCCGAGCUGAGAGGGUGAUCGGCCACAUUGGGACUGAGAAACGGCCCAAACUCCUACGGGAGGCAGCAGUAGGGAAUCUUCGGCCAUGGACGAAAGUCUGACCGAGCAACGCCGCGGGAGUGAAGAAGGGUUUCGGAUCGUAAAACUCUGUUGGUAGAGAAGAACGUUGGUGAGAGUGGAAAGCUCAUCAAGUGACGGUAACUACCCAGAAAGGGACGGCUAACUACGUG
rnacentral:rRNA from 1 species